UCCGGUUUGGCACCGGCAGUCUCUCUAGAGUGCCCGGCUUUACCCGCUGGUAACUAGAGACGGGGGUUGCGCUCGUUGCGGGACUUAACCCAACAUCUCACGACACGAGCUGACGACAGCCAUGCAGCACCUGUGCACGGACUCCGAAGAGGGCGCCCCCUUUCUGAGGCGUUUCCCGUGCAUGUCAAGCCCAGGUAAGGUUCUUCGCGUUGCGUCGAAUUAAACCACAUGCUCCACCGCUUGUGCGGGCCCCCGUCAAUUCCUUUGAGUUUCAGCCUUGCGACUGUACUCCCCAGGCGGCAUAUUUAACGCGUUAGCUCCGGCACGGACAGAAUGAACUGCCCACACCAAAUAUGCAUCGUUUAGGGCGUGGACUAC
rnacentral:misc_RNA from 1 species